AUUUGGGAAUCGGAACUGUGCAAAUGGUGCAGAAAGGAGGAGGAGGCAGCGUUGGGCUGAACCCGGAGGAGGUGAUGGUAGAGGAGGGUGGGGAGGGGGAGGAGCCAAUGGUGUUUGAGUCGGUGCCACUGGUCCAAGGGAAGGCCGCAGCAAAGCGGCUGCGGCUGUUUGGAGUUAAACAUGGAUUGCCCCAUCUCGGAGUCGUCGUCGGAGGAUCAGGAGGAUGAUAAUUGUGACAUACUUGUAUUACCUUCCACUGCAGUCGCUCAUCCUACAAUGCCAUCACAAUUUCCCCACUUGUGUUCAUCUCCACCUCCACCUCCGCCUGCUUCUUCUUCUUCUCUUCUUCUUCUUCUUCUUCUUCAACUGUCCUCUGCAGUUGAGGCCAUACAAUUAUGCCAGCCGUCCACCGCUCCACACAAUGCCCUCCAACAACAAAAGCAGUAGCAGCGACAGCAAGGGCAAGGCAUCUAUGUCCUUGGAUUUGGAUAUAUACUUAGAUGGAGUGGCACCGGGGACUCGGGAGUGACUAAAAAUCUUCUAAGCUGGACAUAUACGACUUGCGUGAAUGCGGCCUUGCGUCCAAAGCCACAAAUGCUAGUGCUAUAUAUGAUCAAGAAAGGAGGGAAGGAAGGAUGAGCUCUUUCAUUUGCUCCAAAUUCAUGCUGGCUGUGCGGAGACGUCCUCAAAGAAGAAAAGAAAAAGGAAUUAUGGCUGAUGUGAUCAUCAUGAGAAGCCCUCUGAAAGGGCUUUGAUUGCCCAACGUGUAUCGUCGCUAUAUAUAGGCUUUUUUCCCGUGGAGUACUGCUUCCAGAAAAUCUUUCAUGUCACUUCUUCA